GGCUGGCCCAAAGGUAGUGAGUUAUCUCAAUUGAUUGUUCAUAGUCAGUCACAGAUUGAACUUCUUGUUCUAUUCCUUCCCUCUUUUUCACUACUGAACUUAACUGGUCUAAA
rnacentral:Y_RNA from 1 species